UACAGAGGUCCCAAGCGUUGUUCGGAUUCAUUGGGCGUAAAGGGUGCGUAGGCGGCGCGGUAAGUCGGGUGUGAAAUCUCAGAGCUCAACUCUGAAACUGCACUCGAUACUGCUUUGCUAGAGGACUGGAGAGGAGAUUGGAAUUCACGGUGUAGCAGUGAAAUGCGUAGAGAUCGUGAGGAAGACCAGUGGCGAAGGCGGAUCUCUGGACAGUUCCUGACGCUGAGGCGCGAAGGCCAGGGGAGCAAACGGG
rnacentral:rRNA from 1 species